CAAAGGCAUGGUCCCAGCCUUAACAUCAGCCGUAGUUCAACUUACACAUGCAAGUCUCCGCAGCCCAGUGAAUAUACCCUCAGUCCCCCGCCCGGGGACAAGGAGUAGGCAUCAGGAACACACAACCUAGCCCAAGACGCCUAGCCAAGCCACACCCCCAAGGGAAUUCAGCAGUGAUUAACAUUAAGCCAUAAGUGAAAACUUGACUAAGUUAGAACUAAGAGGGCCGGUAAAAUUCGUGCCAGCCACCGCGGUUAGACGAAAGGCCCAAGUUUAUGGUAUACGGCGUAAAGAGUGGUUAAGGAUAAAACAAUUAUUUUAAAGCCAAAUGGCCCACUGGCUGUCAUACGCUUCCUGGCGUCCGAGGCCCAACAUAAAAAAUAGCUUUAAAACACCCGACCCCACGAAAGCUAAGAAACAAACUGGGAUUAGAUACCCCACUAUGCUUAGCCAUAAACCUAGACAUUAGACCACAAUAAAAUGUUCGCCCGGGUACUACGAGCACUAGCUUAAAACCCAAAGGACCUGACGGUGUCUCAGACCCAUCUAGAGGAGCCUGUUCUAAAACCGAUAAUCCCCGUCCAACCUCACCACUUCUAGCAUUACAGCUUAUAUACCGCCGUCGUCAGCUUACCCUGUGAGGGGAAAAAAGUAAGCAAAAUGAAUACAGCCCAGAACGUCAGGUCGAGGUGUAGCACAUGAAGUGGGAAGAAAUGGGCUACAUUUUCUACCACAGAAUAUUACGAAUAUAUACCAUGAAACAGUAUUUAAAGGAGGAUUUAGCAGUAAGGGGUAAAUAGAGUGUCCCCCUGAACCCGGCUCUGAGACGCGCACACACCGCCCGUCACUCUCUCCAAACAACGUGUAACUUUUUACUUAAAACCAAAAACAACAGCAAGGAGAGGCAAGUCGUAACAUGGUAAGUGUACCGGAAGGUGCACUUGGACCAAAUU
rnacentral:ncRNA from 1 species